UACGGGAGGCAGCAGUGGGGAAUAUUGCACAAUGGGCGAAAGCCUGAUGCAGCUAUGCCGCGUGUAUGAAGAAGGCCUUAGGGUUGUAAAGUACUUUCAUCGGGGAGGAAAAAACAAAACUAAUAAUUUUAUUUCUUGACGUUACCCGAAAAAGAAGCACCGGCUAACUCCGUGCCAGCAGCCGCGGUAAUACGGAGGGUGCUAGCGUUAAUCAGAAUUACUGGGCGUAAAGAGCACGUAGGUGGUUUUUUUAAAGUCAGAUGUGAAAUCCCUGGGCUUAACCUAGGAACUGCAUUUUGAAACUGAAAUACUAGAGUAUCGUAGAGGGAGGUAGAAUUCUAGGUGUAGCGGUGAAAUGCGUAGAUAUCUGGAGGAAUACCUGUGGCGAAAGCGGCCUCCUAAACGAAUACUGACACUGAGGGUGCGAAAGCGUGGGGAGCAAAACGAGGGAUUAGAUACC
rnacentral:rRNA from 1 species